UUCCAGACUCCUACGGUAGGCAGCAGUGAGGAAUAUUGGUCAAUGGCCGCGAGCCUGAACCAGCCAAGUCGCGUGAGGGAAGACGGUCCUAUGGAUUGUAAACCUCUUUUGUCGGGGAGCAAAAGACGCCACGCGUGGCGUUCCGAGAGUACCCGAAGAAAAAGCAUCGGCUAACUCCGUGCCAGCAGCCGCGGUAAUACGGAGGAUGCGAGCGUUAUCCGGAUUUAUUGGGUUUAAAGGGUGCGUAGGCGGAAGGUUAAGUCAGCGGUCAAAUGUCGGUGCUCAACACCGGCCUGCCGUUGAAACUGGUCUUCUUGAGUGAGCGAGAAGUAUGCGGAAUGCGUGGUGUAGCGGUGAAAUGCAUAGAUAUCACGCAGAACUCCGAUUGCGAAGGCAGCAUACCGGCGCCCAACUGACGCUGAGGCACGAAAGCGUGGGUAUCGAACAGGAUUAGAUACCCUUGUAAC
rnacentral:rRNA from 1 species